CGGACGGGUGAGUAAUGCUUGGGAAUCUAGCUUAUGGAGGGGGAUAACUACGGGAAACUGUAGCUAAUACCGCGUAAUAUCGGAAGAUUAAAGUGUGGGACCUUCGGGCCACACGCCAUAGGAUGAGCCCAAGUGGGAUUAGGUAGUUGGUGAGGUAAAGGCUCACCAAGCCGACGAUCUCUAGCUGGUCUGAGAGGAUGACCAGCCACACUGGGACUGAGACACGGCCCAG
rnacentral:rRNA from 1 species